UUGAACGCUGGCGGCAGGCCUAACACAUGCAAGUCGAACGGUAACAGGAAGCAGCUUGCUGCUUCGCUGACGAGUGGCGGACGGGUGAGUAAUGUCUGGGAAGCUGCCUGAUGGAGGGGGAUAACUACUGGAAACGGUAGCUAAUACCGCAUAAUGUCGCAAGACCCAAGAGGGGGACCUUCGGGCCUCUUGCCAUCGGAUGUGCCCAGAUGGGAUUAGCUUGUUGGUGGGGUAACGGCUCACCAAGGCGACGAUCCCUAGCUGGUCUGAGAGGAUGACCAGCCACACUGGGACUGAGACACGGUCCAGACUCCUACGGGAGGCAGCAGUGGGGAAUAUUGCACAAUGGGCGCAAGCCUGAUGCAGCCAUGCCGCGUGUAUGAAGAAGGCCUUCGGGUUGUAAAGUACUUUCAGCGGGGAGGAAGGGAGUAAAGUUAAUACCUUUGCUCAUUGACGUUACCCGCAGAAGAAGCACCGGCUAACUCCGUG
rnacentral:rRNA from 1 species